rnacentral:lncRNA from 1 species
AGCCACAAAACGAGCAAAGAAUGACAAUAAAAUAGAACAAAACAGCCACAACCCCUAGAACCAAGUGAAUUUUCUUCGAAUAUCGUCAUACCCACAUGGAUUUUAAUGAAACUGAAGGCACAAACUGACCAGAAACCAAGAUUUGAGGCAGUGUAUUCUGGCUGCGUGUGAAGCUCACACACGACUUCUUCCUGCGAGCGAUGAACUCAGACAGAGGGGGACAACGGCGGUGCUCCUUCAAAGGUGGUGGUGUCAACAAACGACCACUUGAACUUUGUGACCCGAACUUAAACCCUAACAAAAUGUAGCUGUCAAAGAAUAAACAAAUAGACGAAUGUUCUAAACCCUGGAUGGCUCUGAUACCAUGUUGUAGUUAGAGCGAAAUAUAAAAUAACUCCUUUACUUCAUUCUAUCAAUAGAAUUCAGUAUAUAUAGGCAUCAAUGGAAACCUUAUAUAAAGACUAGUAUGUUACAAUAAAGGACAAAAGACUAAAGAACUCUUUUAGUUAGAUAUAUACUAUAACACUUCUCUUUUUUGUUUUGUUUUUCUCUUUCUAAAAAAUAAAAAAUUGUAUUUUUUUACAUUUUAUUUCUUUAAUAUCUCAUAGAUAUUAUACAGUAUAUUAUCUUUCGUGUUUGAUCUAAAAUGCUAUCAUAACUUAAAAGAUCUAUAUAUUUUAAUAAAAUUAUAUAGGUUGUGUACACAUCCUGUACCCUUUGGAAAAUGGUUUCAUGUCUUUCUUACAUUGUUUCCAUCAGUAUCUGGAUGCCUUGGAAGAGGAACUGUAGGAGCAAAGAUAAUUUAGAUCCUAAUAGUAAAAUAAGAGAUUAGGGUUUUUUUAGACUAUUCACCAUAUAAAUUUCAAAAUAAGGCACCAAGGUUGUGUACAAUAUUUAUCUUGGGGUAAAAGUAUAUAACUUUGAUUAUAUCCUGGAAAUUCUUUCCUUUAUUAUAUCUAUUGAGCUUUUAUAAAGUUAUUAUUUUGUCUCUUUCUAAGUUAUUAUUUUGUCUCUUUCUUUCUUACUCCUUUUCUUUUGUUGGAUUAGAUUAUUUUGUUGUUUAUCUUCCUGAAAUAACAAUUGUUUAUGUUUAAUCUUGAGCUAGUUUAAAUUCUAUAAACUUCAACUUCAUUUUCAUCAUAACCAUCUUUUAGGUACCUAGACUGGUGCCUUGUGCUGCAACUUCACAAAGGUGCCUACGUACAAAUGAUGUGGAGAAUGUUGGUAGAACGGCUAGGCAUCAUACGUUCUUUGAGAUGCUUGGAAACUUCAGUUUUGGUGAUUACUUCAAGAAAGAAGCAAUUAAGUGGGCAUGGGAGCUGACAACCGUUGAGUAUGAAUGAAUUAUCACAAUAUUUGUGGAUUCCAAAAAAAUGUAAAAAAAGUCCAAGCUCAGUUCAAAUUGAAGCAGGACCAGAUUUCUCAUCAAACAAAUAUUAUUACCACUGCUGAUUACAUGCAAGCACGGAGUUUCUUGAACAUAAAAUUCUAGAAUAGGAAUAUUAUCACAACUUUCUCAAUUUAGCUACUAACAUUUCUAGGUUAGCUGGACUAAUAUAUUGUGAUCGAUAAGCAUGUCGUUUAGUUUAGUGCUUUAGAUUUCAUUGGAUGACGGAGAACAUUUCACAUAAUAAACUUACUCUUGGUUUCUUUUUGUCCCUUCCAGAUUUGGGUUGCCAGCCAACAGACUGUGGAUUAGUAUAUAUGAAGAAGAUGACGAAGCUUUUGCAAUAUGGCAUGACGAGGUUGCAAAAUCAAAGUCUUUCAAUUUGUUAUGUUUAGUGUAUUUUAUCCUCUUUCUUGAAGCUUAUGUCUCUGUGAUUGUAUGCUUCAGUUCUUAGCUAAACAUCCUUUUCCUCUUACCUGUUCCUGCUGUUAUAAUGUGUUUAUAUUAUAAUUAUGUAUAAUCGUCCUUUAUUGUAAUUUUGGAUUCCCUUGAUUAGGGUUUCUUAGUUGCCUAUAUAUACUUAUAUAUAUGUAUCUUCAGCCUGAUUAAAUAAUAUCAUUAUAUUCUUCAAAAGUACAGAAUACACCUGCAGUCUAAAGUUAUUACUUUUACAAUGUACUAUAUAACUGUUCUUUGUGAUGUCAGAAGCAUACGUAACCUACUUAACUUCUUUUCACAUAGACAAUGCUUUGCAUAUUUUCUUAGUACUUGGAAUACCUUGAUGACACAAUUAUUCUAUAUGUAUUCAAAAUAUUCAAUAAUCUGAUUGUUCUUUUUUUAAUUAUUUAAAUAUGAAUGUAGACAAAUAUAGGUUAUGAAAUCUAUAAACCUUUAAUAUACUUGACUAAUUUUCUUCCAGGUAGGUGUUCCGAUUGAUCGUAUAAAGAGGAUGGGUGAGGAUGACAACUUUUGGACUAGUGGCAUCACGGGCCCAUGUGGCCCAUGUUCUGAGAUUUAUUAUGAUUUCCAACCUGAAAAGGGGUAUUCUGAUGUUGUAUGUAGUUUUUUCUUUUGCUUUGUCGAUUAUGUGAAAGGUUGUGAACACGUUGUCUAGUUCAUAGUAGCUCUUCAUGUUUCCUUACGUGUUGAAGAGUUGAUAUAUUUUACAGGAUUUGGGGGAUGACACAAGGUUUAUGGAGUUCUACAAUUUAGUUUUCAUGCAAUACAACAAAAAGGAUGAUGGUUCCCUUGAACCUUUGAAACAGAAGAAUAUAGAUACAGGGCUUGGUUUAGAGCGCAUGGCUCGUAUACUCCAAAAAGUACUGUAGCUAUUACUCAUUGGAGUUUCUAUUUUUUUCUCUCAUUUUUGUUGGAAAAAAUAGUUUUAAAACUCGCUGAUCUUGAGUAAUAUAUCAAAUAACUCUAUUAUUGUAUGCUAAAAUGCUUUUCUCAACGUUUUCUGAUGUCCAUUUACAUGCAGGUUCCGAACAAUUAUGAGACAGACUUGAUCUACCCCAUUAUACAGAAGGCCUCAGAACUAGCAAAUGUGACAUAUGACACUGCUGAUAAUCGAUCAAAAACAAACCUUAAGGCAUGUGUAUCCUAAAAGAAACUGACAUUUAGGCUGUUGUUCCACUCCUUUUCCAAUUAUAUCAUUACUUCAGUUAUUUGUUUUUGCUUCUAGAUCAUUGGAGACCAUAUGCGUGCAGUUGUGUACCUGAUAUCCGAUGGAGUUGUCCCAUCCAACAUUGGCAGAGGAUAUAUUGUCCGCAGGCUUAUCCGAAGAGUUGUUCGUACUGGUAGGCUGCUUGGAAUAAAGGGGGAUGGAAGAGGCAAUAUUGAUGGGGCAUUUACACCAGUUAUUGCAGAAAAGGUCAUUGCAUUAAGCAACCACAUUGACGAGGAUGUAAAAGGUAGAGCAGGACGCAUUCUCGAGGAGCUGAAAAGGGAAGAACUUAGGUUUGUACAGACACUAGAGCGAGGAGAAAAGCUGCUGGAAGAAAUGCUAGCUGAUGCAUUGGCUAGUGCUAAUGACGGUGGAAGGAUUCCUUGUUUGGCUGGCAAGGAUGCAUUUCUGUUGUAUGAUACAUAUGGCUUCCCAGUGGAGAUUAGCACAGAAGUUGCUCAAGAGCGUGGUGUAGUUGUUGAUAUGGAGGGUUUUGAUAUUGAGAUGGAUAAUCAGAGGCGGCAAUCUCAGGCUGCACAUAAUGUUGUUAAACUUGAAGUUGGAGAAGGUGCAGAUAUAAUGGAAAAUAUCUCUGACACAGAAUUUCUUGGAUAUGAUACACUCUCUGCUAAAGCAAUCGUGGAGAGUCUUAUUGUGAAUGGUAAUCCCGUCUUACAGGUAUCUGAAGGAAAUGAUGUAGAAGUUCUGUUGAAUAGGACGCCUUUCUAUGCAGAAUCUGGUGGUCAGAUAGGAGACCAUGGUUUCAUCUAUAUUUCAGAAGGUGAAAACAGUCAGAACGUAGUAGUGGAGGUAAAAGAUGUUCAAAAAUCUGCUGGCAGCAUAUUUGUUCACAAGGGUAUCAUCAAACAGGGAAUUCUAGAGGUUGGAAGAGAAGUGGAAGCAGCAGUAGAUGCAGAAUUGAGGCAGGGAGCCAAGGUAGCUUUAUGAAAGGUUUUUGUAACGAGUAGUUUACUCUAUUUUGCUAAAUUUAUAAUCAUUUAAUUCAUGUGCUUGCUUCCAAAGAGAGUACGCCAGGUCAUUGUAUUAUCACUUAGAAAUCUUGUUUGUUCAUCUUUUGGAACAAGCUUUUAUGAGAAACCCACCUGACUUGAUUUGUAUUUUUUUCUAGGUUCAUCAUACUGCUACGCAUCUUCUACAGUCUGCACUUAAGAGGAUUAUAGGCCAAGAAACAUCUCAAGCUGGUUCCUUGGUUGCCUUUGACCGGCUUCGAUUUGAUUUCAACUACCACCGACCUCUUGUUGACGCUGAGAUCGUGAAAAUUGAGGAACUAAUCAAUGGUUGGAUUGGAGAUGCAGUGCUUCUUCAAACUAAAGUUAUGGCUCUUACUGAAGCCAAAAAAGCUGGGGCUAUUGCUAUGUUCGGAGAGAAGUAUGGAGAAGAGGUUAGUUUCAUACCAUUUCCGUCAAGGGCUAGUUUGGAUCAUUUCGCUAUUUAGCUUACAUCAUUUACCAGAAAGUUAGCUUGACCAUAUUGUACUUUAAUUUAAGUUUAGUUCAUCUCUAGGGGAAAGGAGCUGAAGCUUUAAGAAAAAAAUUUAACUCUCUGCCGAAAGGAAUUAUUCAUUCUUCCCUCAAACAACACAGAAUCUUAUGGUGGUUAGCCAGAAACCAGCGUUUACUAAGUUUGAUAUGUAUAUGUUUAUCUGGAUGAACUGCGUGGAGUGUGUUCCGUAAUAUUGAUCUCUGUUAUGUUAUAAGCAAGAUUUAAAUUUGCGUACGUACGUCAAUUAUUGAGUUUGAACUGUGCAUAAGUUACUGUGAAGGACAUCCCUAUGUUUGUACUGAUAGGUUUUAAUCUUUUCUAGGUACGUGUUGUUGAGGUUCCUGGUGUAUCAAUGGAACUUUGUGGCGGGACUCAUGUAUUCAACACUUCAGAAAUACGUGGUUUUAAAAUAAUCUCAGAGCAAGGCAUUGCAUCUGGAGUUAGGCGAAUAGAGGCUGUGGCUGGUGAUGCUUUCAUCGAGUACGUUAACGCCAGAGACUACCAUAUGAAGCGGCUAUGCACCAUGCUCAAGGUAUGAACUCACUUACAUGGUUAUGUUAUGCGCCACUCGAAAAACUUCUUGAAUUAUAAGUAUCAUUACCUAUUUUCGUAGUAUAACUGAGUCUUUACUUGACUGGUGAGCAAUGAUGCAUAGAUUGUAUUCUUUUGGAAAGAUAACUUCACUUUUUCCUGGUGCAGGUAAAAGCUGAGGAUGUUACAACCCGGGUAGAUAAUCUUCUUGAGGAAUUGCGGAUGGCAAGAAAUGAAAUAUCUAAUUUGCGUGAAAAAACUGCAGUCGCUAAAGCAUCAAGCAUUGCUAACAAGGCAUUUGUGGUUGGAACUUCAAAAGAGAUCAGGUGAUGAAAUGAACAUAAACUUCAUUAAACAUCAAUUCCCUUGAGAUCGCCCCAUUGUUUAGUUAAACAUUCAACUUCGUAUUUCCUUAUUUUUUCAUAAAGUUCUGGACGUUUCCAAAACAACAUUCCUCCAAUGAACUCAACAAAAGAGAACAAUCCAUCUAAACUAAACAGAUAACAAUCUAUUUCACAGGGUACUAGUCGAAUACAUGGAUGAUGCCGAUGCAGAUUCAUUGAAAAGUGCAGCUGAGUUCUUGAUGGACAAUCUUCAAGAUCCAGUAGCUAUAGUACUAGGUUCCUGUCCUGGGGAAGGAAAAGUGAGUUUAGUUGCAGCAUUUACACCAAGUGUUGUCGAUCUGGGAGUACAGGCAGGAAAGUUCAUAGGAUCUAUAGCUAAGUUAUGUGGUGGGGGAGGGGGCGGUAGGCCCAAUUUUGCUCAGGCAGGUGGAAGAAAACCUGAGAACUUGUUGGAUGCACUUGAAAAUGCUCGAUCAGAGCUCACCCGGAUUCUAUCGGAGAAAGCAAGCUAAAACUCAUCCGAAUCACAAACGUCGAACACAUUGGGAGCAUUGGGGCCUGGAACUUGUAUCCUUGAAACUGUCUGUGGGAGAAGGCUACAGUUGUUAAAUAACCGUAGCCUACAAAUUGGUACAGUUUCUUUGGAUGAAUCAAGUAUAAAAAUGAUGAAUUUUGAGAGUUUCUUGUUGCUCCAUGGUUAUUGAUUCUUUGAAUGAAGCUCUUAUACAAAUUUGGAAAAAGAAAAAGAAAUUACAAAAAUGAUAAAGAAAGAAAGAAAAGAAAACUAUAAAAUCAAUUCAUUAUUGACAUAUCAUUAUAAAAUUAUAUAUACCUACACUUCGGGAUUGUAUGAACUCAACCUAAACUUUGGUCAGUAUAUGAAUUUUGUCUAGAUAAACAUUAUGUGAUAUGUUUAAUUUUGAAGUAAACUUCUAAACUUUCAAAGUAAAUCAUUUUAGACUUACAGUUAAGAUGUUCUCAUGUUCUAAAUGCUCGUUUCCUUAACUUGACAUUUGAAGGUUGCAAACAUGUGAGAAUUAAAUUUAUGGACCAUUUUUAAACGUUAUGCAUAAUACUGUCUAAAUUUGUUUACUUGUAACAAUUUUAGAAUUUAAUUGAAACUAUUAUAUAUUUUGCAUUAUAUUUUUCUAAAUUUGAAAGAAGCAUGUUAAGAGACACUUGUCAAAGUUUGGACAUAAAAUUGAUACAAUCUCGUUAGUUCAAUGCUAAAAUUAGUGCAAAUUCGAAACUUUGUGUUUCUAAUUUUUUUUCUUCUAAAAUAUUAUUGAAUUAACAAAAAGUUUCUAUUAGUACUUCUUUUUAUUAUUGUAACAUAGACAACUUCAACCAUCAGACAGUUGUGUAAUUUUUAUUUUUUUUCUUCCUAAAGUCUGUCCAAAGUUUUUAUUAGACAUUGAUUUUUCAUUCAUUUCUCAACUAGUUUUUAGAUCUUAUAGCAUUACAAUUGGCUUUAAACUAUUGAAUGAAUUUGAUAUCUAUGUACCAAGUUGUUGAUCAAAAUGCAUUUCGGACUAAAUAUUUUUGACAAAAAUACGUGUCAUGCUAGCUUAAAAAUUCGAAAAGAAAAUGUUAAAACUUUUCUAAAUCAUACAAUACUUUAUAUGCCUAGUACACAUUGAAUAACUAAUCUUAUCAUUAGCCUAAUUAUAAUAAUUUGAAUCAUACAAAAAUUUAAGCUUGCAAGGUAAAGUGAAAAUUCCUUAAAUUGGAUCAAAACUUUCAUGCAUACUAUUCAAAGUUGAAUUGAAUUCAACAUUGGAAGGGGAAAGAAAAGUGUAUUUCCAAGAUAGCAUUUUGCAAAAUAUAAAGUACAUUUAAAUAGGUAUUAAUCAUCUAAAAGUCGAGAAAAGCUAAAACAGAAUGGAAAAUUGCAUCAUAUGACAAACAUUUAGAAAAAAAACAGCUCAUGACACCAAUUUUUUGCAUAUUGCGAAUAUGACAAAAUUAGUGAUAUCAGACGGUUUUUAGAUGGUAAUUAUAAGGCUAUCAAAGAGUCAUCACUUCUAAAUUUGCUACUUUUGUAAAUUUAGAAAAUGUGAUGACAUGGACUCUAUUAUCAUAAAACUUUUUUUUUUAUAUUUUUGUAAAAGCCCCAAAGAGAAUUAUAGUGUUGCUCUUGCUACCUAGAAGUCUCAAUUCAACUUUUAUUGUUUGGUACCUUUUGUGGGUUUUUGUUUAGGCUCAAAACAUUGGUUCAAUAGUUGUGGAUCAGGUAUUGUUUGAGAUGAUAUCUACAUUUUUCUUACCAAAAGAAAAAAAAAAGAUAAUUUGAAGAAAAAGAAAUAAGGUUGAUACCUUAUUCUGGUGCCACUAUGAAUACAACCUACUUUGUAGUUAUUACAAUCGUUUUAAAGUGCUACAAAUGAUAUGAUCCAAAUCAUUCAUGUGGAGAUAUCAGAGCGGGGUAUUCUAUACAAAGAGUUUGUAUAAGACCAAACAAUGAAAUGAAUACUCUUUUAUUAACACUGUUACUAGAAGAGACUACUUCACCAGAAUGACCAUAGGUGACUUGACCUAAUUCCUAAUGAGUUAUGAACAUCUUUCUAUGAAGGUGAUCCUUUGUUUUGUGUAAGUGAGAGUGACCUAUGUUGCCGACUCAACAUGCCUACCAUUUUGUGGAUCCGUUUGAUUUGGAGCUAGAAAUACAACUACAUAAGAAGGAUUUUCUCUUAUUCUCUAUAAAUAGAGUAAGUAGAGAAAUUGCUUUCUUAAGAGUUAGAACAAUGUGGUACCAUACACUCUCUUGGCUUGAGAAAUGGUGUCGUGUCAUUGAUACACAAGAAGGAAUUCACUCAUUCUCUAUAGAUAAAUAAAUAGAUACACUGGUUUGUAAAUAUUGUAAAUGCUGGGGAAGCGCGCAUUAAGGUUCGUUAUAACUAUUAUGGUUUUAUCAGAGCGUAUGUCAGUAUAAAAGAUAAAAAAAGAAUGAUCCUCCUUUGUUGUACAAAACUUCUCCAUGAUCCAUGGAAAGGGAUUAAUAGAAAAAGAAGUAAAAAAUCAUGAAUCCUUGGAGAGGCAGGCAACGAUGGACUUUGAUGAACUCAACCCUUAGUGUGAACUGUUUUAAUUUGUUGAAAACCUAGCAGUUCCACCGGAGAGUUUUGAAUUCAAUAAAAUGAAAUUUAAUGUUGAUGCGCCUUCCAAAGAAAAUCACACUAAGGCCAAGGAAGUUAAUGAAUCAAACCAGCCAAUCCAACAAAGAAAGAGAAAGGGAUAGAGAAAGGAAAAGCUUUAUUGAUAGCAAAUGAUAACAACAUGGACACAGGUGACUCAUCAAUGCAGGUUUUAAUGGAAGAUAACAAAAAGACACAGAAGGCGGGUUCAAAGAGGAAAGUGGUUUUCACUUCCCUAAUAACGAAACUCACCUUUACACUCUAGGGUUCAAAGAGGAAAGUCAUUUUCAAAGCAAAUGAUUGCCAAAACCCAACUAGGAAGUGACAAAGGAAGCCCCCAAGAAACACAACCAUUAAUUUCCAUGAAAGGACCACAACAACAAAAUAUUUAUAAAGUCAAACAAAAUGGUUCUCCUUCAGUGAAAGAGAAAAUUUCUCACCUAUCACAAUUCACCUACAGUAAAAAUAUUGAAAAGGAAGGGAAUUUGAUUAUGGAUUUAAACAGCAAAGGGUUGAAGCUAAACUCAGGCAGCUCAAAGCUUCAAAAAUUCGAUAGAUUGUCUCUCUCCUAUCCCAGAUAUUAUUCUCCCUCAUCACUCUCAAGACAUGAUUCGUUAAAGCCUAUCAGAACACAAAAUUCAAAAACAGUUUAAAUCCAGCAAGCAAAAGGAAAGAAAACUAGACUAAGGGAUUGGUAAAAAAAGAACAAGCUCAAACUCUUGCCAGUGUUGUAAGAAAUUGACUCAUCAACAGAUGCAGAAGCAGAAACUGUGAAAUUAAUUGGAUCAUUUUUAUGAUGGCUCAAGCAACAAAAUUGCAGGAUCUUUUGUUUUGAAAUGUUAAGGGUUGGGCUCUCCCCAAAAAAAGAGCCCAAAUAAAAGCAGUAAUUUUAAAUUAUGAUCCUCAUGUUGUCAUUCUUACUUAAAAUAAACUCCAAAAUAUUAGCAUUCAUCUCAUCAAAUCUCUUUGGAGAAAAAAAAAAAAAAAAAACAAUUAAAUGGCAUUUGAGAGUUUCAUCUGUUAGUUCUGGAGGCAUUCUGGUUGUUUGGGAUGAUGUUCAACAUUCUUGUAUUCGUAACUUUGAAGGUUCUUUUACACUCUCCCUCAAUUUUUAAGGAAAAGUCAAAAUCCAUUGUAAAUCUUUAGGGAGAUGUGUGAAAUCUCAUAGGAGUUUGGUCUAAGUGUCAUUGGUACGACGCCUCCGUUCUUUCUCUUAACUUUAGAGCUUUGUUAGAUUAGGUUGUUCUAGACUUCACUCUAGCCUUCCAAGCUUGUAACUUUUCUCUUCAUUAAUAGAUUUGGCAUGCCUUUCUAGGGCUCUUCCUAGAUUGAUUUGACUUGAUUUCUUUAUAAAAAAGAAUUAAACGUUCAUUCUUAGAAAUUCUUUCUUUCUUUUUUUUACACAAAUUUAUGUUCUUUCAAAUUCUAAGCUAAAUGUUGAAAAUAAAAUAAAAUAUUAGAUUUAGAAUACAAAUUUAAAAAAUAAAAAAACCUUCACAACACCACUCACAUAAUCCUUCCCCCAAACAUAUCUUAUCAUAACUCUACCCACAUAAUUCUUCCCCGAACACAUCUUAUCAUAAUACUACAUUCAUAAACCUUUCCCCCAAACACAACUCAUCAUAACACCUCUUUUAUCAUAACUCCAACCCUUUGAUAAACCAACCCUUUUUCCAAACAGCCCCUAAGUGUUUGCAUGUCGUGACACAUGGAAACCACCCAAUGACAAGGCUCUAAACACCUAAGGCACUCCUUUAUUCGCCUAACCUCCAAACCAUCUCACAUAGCCUACACCUAACUCGCAUGAGUUAGUAGGUCGCAUGCCUCAACGCAUAGAGGAUCCCUUGACACUUCUUGUCACCUAGUUUUUCCCACAAAAACCUCUUCUCUCAUGCUUUCAAGCCCUUGGCCGCAUAGGCAUCUCGUCUAGUCCUUAUCUUGUCCGCAAGGCACAUCUAACUGUCUAGUAUGCCUUGCUUGGUCGCAUCUAACUGUCUAACUGUCUAGCUUUGUUCUUAGAGGUUAUUUAGACAACCUUGACCACUUAGUUUAACCUCAAAAUGCCUAAUAUCAUACAAAACACAUAAUAUCAUGCAAAAUGCCCCACCCAUACUUUGGCUAUCUACUUGACACUUUGCUAAUUUUUCCAAAUUUUCGUUCGUCCAACAACCAUAACACUCUUAUAAUGACACACUAAGAAUAAGAAACCAACGAUGACACUUAGGCCACUACCACAACUUAGUAAACCUUUUUUUAACCUUUUUUUGAACUACUACUUCAACUAAUCUUGAAUCUAGCUUAUCCAUUUGUUUGAUCGGAAGGCUAUAGUUCAAUGUUUACAAAUUUUUAGUUACAUUUAAAAAAAAAAAAAUUACAACCAUCUUGCAACUCCCAAAAUUGAAUUUUUAACUCCAAUAUAUGCAUGUUUUAGGCAUUUUAAAGAUAUAAACAUGUUUUAGCAAGUUUUUAGUUAUAAAAUUUUUUAACUCCAAAUCAAUUUUAAGCACGUUUUAGCUUAUGAUUUGUUUGUGAGAUAUUUGCGAUAUAGCUAAACAUUCAUUAAAACAUGUGUAAUUUCACCUUAAAUCACAUCUAAAUCACUUAAAACAAUUAUAGUAUGUAAUCGAGAUUUUAAAACUACUCUAAAUCACCUAAGCAAGCAUGACGUAUUUUUAAGUUUGAAAGUUGAGAGAUCUCUGUAAGAUGUUGCAAGAUUAAAAAAAAAAGUAUCUAAGAUCCUAUCUUAAUAUGUCUAAACUCAUCCUAAAUCACUUAAAACACAUAUAAGAAUGAUUUGGAAUUGGCUGUUUUCAAGUUUGGAAGUUGGAAACUUACUCCGAGAUAGUGUGAGAUAUUGCAAAAUAAAAUAAAAAACCACCUAAAAAAUAUUUACAACAUGAACAAAACAACCCAAAAUCAUAUAAAUGUUCCUACAAUUAAAAUGGUGGAAAGGGAAAGAAGGAGGACAAUUGUCAUUAAGAAAUUAAGGCAUGAGAACAAUUUUCGCAUUUCACUAUUUAUUUAUCCCAAAACUCGACUUUUUGAAAUGUUAUCCUACAACUUUUAGACUCCAUUGAAAAUGUCUUACUCUUAGUAAUUACCCAAUUUUCAUCGUCGUAUUGACAUUUUAAUAGAAUACUUUUAUAUAUUUUUUUUCAAGUUGGUGAAUAAACAUUUCCAUUAUAUUGUAAUUUUUUUUUAUUAAAAAACCAAUAAAAUAUCAAUUAUAUGUGUAUAAUAUAAAUAAUUAAAAUAUUUUUUAAAAAUAUAACAAUGAGGAAAAUUAUCAAUUUACACCCCUCAACUUUGGAUCAACUAGCCAAAAACUUCUAUAAAUGUAUCCAUUUAAAAACUUACAUGAUUCUAUUAAUUUAAACUCUCUCUUAUGUUUUAUUUAUAUACAUUUAUGAAAGUUGAAGAUUUAAAUUGAUAUAUUUACGAAAGCUUGGAGUUUUAAUUGAUACACUUAUAAAAGUUCAUAGUUUAAAUUGAUAUAAACUAUUAGAUUAGAGUUUAAAUUGAUACAACUAUACAAUUAUUAGUUCAACGUUUAAACGAGUACAACACAUAGUUGAGAAGUAUAAAUUGAUAUUUACCUUAGUAAAUAUUUUAACUUAUUCUUAAAAGCAUAGAAUACUUAUUUAUUAAUUAAAAUAAUUAAUAUGUUUAUUUUUUAGUGAUAUUUAUUGACAUUGAUAAUUUUCUUUUGUCUGAAGUUAAAAUUGUGACGUUUUCGCCAACAUUCAAAUUUAUUCAAAUAUUAAAAUAAACAGAGACUACGUCUUAAUAAACAGAUGCAAAAGUAAUAUAAAAACAAAUCGAUACUACAUCUUAACGAUGGGAUGCAAAAUUUAAAGAAUUAUAGUCAAUGAAAAGCAGUUAAAAAACUGAUAGUCACAUCUUAUACCAACAAAAUACAUCUUUUUUGAUACGAUAUUUUAGUCAUAAAAACUUCAAAGUUAUAAAUUGUUUGGUUUGGAGCAAUUUUAUAUUCGAUAAACACUUAAAAUAUUUUUAGGGAGCAUGUGAUGAACAUUGACAAAAACGUCUUGGAAAAAAUGCAACUUCAAACUUGAUCAAUUUGAAAUUUUAUCAUGCUUCCCAAAUUGUACAGGUUUUCUAUUCUAGUACACAUUCAAGUUUCAAAACUCAAAUGUAUGGUAAAAGGAAAAACAUAAUGAAAAAAAUGGAUUAUUUGAAAAAUAAAUAAAUUAAAAAGGUCUCUUACUCAACUGCGAAAAAGUAAACUAAAGAGUGGUAAGGUAUUCUUUUGUUACCUUUGAAACCAUUUUUGUUAUUUAACAAUUUUCAAUAAAUUUUUUUUUAAUUUAAUUUAUUAUUCAAAGUAGGUAUGGAUAUAUUUCUAAAUUAAUAAAAAUAUCUAUAGAUACUUGGAGGCUAAUUUUUCAAAAAAGAAACCAACAGCAAUGACUAUUUUAAGAUUUAUUGAAAUGACUGAUACUUUUGUAACUAAUAAUUAAAUAUAUAACAUUAUUUUAAAAAAUUACAAAUAAAUCAAAAUAUAUUUGGGUUAAAAUCUAUAAUUAAGAAAUUCUUAUUAGUAAUAGAUUUUUAUGGUUGAUAAACUUUAUAGAGUUAGAUUUCAAUUUUGCAAUAUCUACAAAUUCUUUGCAUUAUAUUAUAUUUUGGUAAUACAUCAGAGUUCGUUGGUAUAUUUGUCAUUGUUCACUUAAUAAAAAUAUAAAAAUUAAAAUGGACAUUUAAAACCAUAAAUCGAAAUAGAUAGUUGAAAACUAGUCUACGACUAACUUACUAUUUCUUUUUGAUUUGUUUACUAUUUCCUACCUAGACUAAAAUAGUUUGCACAACAAUAAAUUGAUAAGAACAUAUACUACACUUGAUCUUAAUCAAAAGGUCAAGAAAAGUCUACAUUUCAGAUGCAUACUAUUACCAUAACCUAUAAACUAUAAUAAAUUUGAACUAUAACAAUCAGUUCCAACACCCAUAAAAGAUAUUUAUAAAAAGAAAAAAAAAAUGCAUGUAUUAAAAGAAAAUAAAAGCUCAAUGAAAUAGUGACAGAGGAGGAUAAUGGAGAUGAGUUCUGCACGUGUUUGAACAAUUUAGCCACCAAGUAAUGAUUGUUUUCAAUCAGAAACAAGACUGAUAGAAAGAGUCUUAAGACAGAGCACUGUUGUUUUCAGACUCUAUAGGGAUACUAGACUUGAAGACUAUCUUUAGACUUUUGGGGAAACAUAAAUUGACACUAAAAAAUAGAAAAACAAACAAAAAAAAAGAAGAGUGGGGCUAUUCUUUUCUUUCUAUGUCAUUAGUUUUCCCUAUUGGAUCAUUUGCACAUGUGACCCUCUUCAAUACGAAAUCAUCCUCACCCUUCAUCUGUUCUUGACACGUACCACACAUAUCGACACUACCAAAUUCUGUUCCACCAAAACUUUAAUAAUAUAAUGCAUAUUGGGCAGAGAGUGGAAAAUUCAUCCCAUCUACUUAUUCCCCCAUUAAGGUUUUCUUUAGCCUAAGCUUCUCCCUACACAUUUUUAUAGUUGUUUUUUCACGUCGGUCUCAACUCUAAAGGAAUUUAUGCCUCGUUGACAUGUCAAGAAGUUGAGUUCAUAGCUAAUAGGUAAAGAAAACUUUUACUUUUGGUGUGUUCUGGUGAUCUGUUGGUGAGAAGUAUAAGUGGACUAGAGACUCUCAUACGAGUAUGGGAAAGAUUCUCGUCUCUUUCUUUUCCUCUUAUAUUUCGUUAUAUCCUCGUUUGUUCAAGUACAAUGUAACUGACAAAGUAAUGGUAAAGAACAAACCAAGCAGGGGAAAAUAGUUUUUUAAUCCAAUUUUCUAUACAUAGUUAACUACAUACUAAACUCUUUUUUCCCUCUUUUCUUUUUAAUAUUUUUGAAUUCUUAUUACGGUGUGAUUAGAGUGGGGUGCCAAGGUUCAAGUAUUGCUAUUCUUUUCCUCCUCAUUUUCUCAUUUUUUAGAACUCUCUUUUUUCUUUUUUUUUUUCAGAUUUUACUGACUUUUUUCUACAAAAUGGCGUUAAUAUAAAGCGGCUAUUCCCUGUCAUCCGAGUGCCCAAUAUCAGAGUGAAAUAGAAGCCCUUCCUUAUAUGUAUAUGUUUUCAUAUCCACAUGUAUUUACUAAUCAUGUAGCUCCUCUAGGCACAAUCCAGAGCAGUGAAAUGGAAGGGGAGGUAGUAAAGUCCAGGUUCAAAAGGGUUUGUGUGUUUUGUGGGAGCAGCACAGGAAAGAGGGACUGCUAUAGAGAUGCAGCCAUUGAUUUAGCUCAGGAGCUGGUACUGCUUUGAAAACCUCUCUUAAUAUCACCCAUUCACGAAAGCCAAUAUGUCUUUUUCACUUUCCCCCUUCCUCCCUUUCUACGUGUAUAUACAAUUAUGCUGUUGUUUCUCUAUGCAGGUUUCCAGAAGAUUGGGGCUUGUUUAUGGAGGUGGAAGCAUUGGGCUAAUGGGUCUGGUUUCACAAGCUGUUCAUCAUGGUGGCGGCAGAGUCAUGGGGUAAUUGAUCGAAAAAGCUUGAAUUUCUAUUCUGAAAAUGGUUUGAUGUUUCAAAGUUUUAAUUUUACAUCUGUUUGUUUAAUUUGUUUGGGUUUGGUUGAUUUGCAGUAUCAUUCCCAGGACAUUAAUGAACAAAGAGGUUAGAAAUAUGCCAAUAUCCUAAUUUGUUUUGGGUAAUUGAAAAUUCAAUCAGCCAACACUUAACUUGUUAUUCUACAAAAUGAUAAUUUCUUGGGGGAAAAAUUACAGAUAACUGGAGAAACAGUGGGGGAGACAAGACCAGUAGACAACAUGCACCAAAGGAAGGCAGAAAUGGCCCGCCAUUCAGAUUGCUUUAUAGCCCUACCAGGUCCCAACCAUUCCCUUUUCCCUUUCCUAUUCAGAAACACAAUCCCGCACUUCUUUUUUACAUUUCUUUUCAUAGUCCCCUUUUUAAAAAAGACCCCUGAUAAUGGGUUUCAUUUUCCCUUCACUGCACUGAUUUUCAGGUGGGUAUGGAACUAUGGAAGAACUGUUAGAAGUCAUCACAUGGGCUCAACUAGGCAUCCACGACAAACCAGUAAACUCUACAAAAAUUACCUCAUUAAACUCUGCCAGAAAGCUUUGUUUUGAUCUCACGACCUUUAAGUUUGUUGUGCAAUUUCUCUUCCUCAGGUUGGGUUGCUGAAUGUGGAGGGCUACUACAACAACCUCCUCACUUUCAUCGACCAAGCAGUGGACGAUGGUUUCAUAAAACCAUCACAACGCAAGAUCAUAGUGUCAGCACCCAACGCCAAGGACCUGGUUCAGAAACUAGAGGUCAGUCAUUAAGUCAGACAUUUCAUCGAACACAACUUCUAAAUUCUACGAUUAAAUUGUAAGCAGAGUAUUUGACUAAUGAUGAUCAUGGAUUGAUUUAUUUAGGAAUACGUGCCUGUACACGAGGAAGUGAUGGGCAAACCGAGAUGGGAAAUUGAGCAGCCACAGCCACAGCAACCGAAAAACCAAGUGGGGUUCGAACCCAAAACUUUCCACGCUCAGAUCGCCCUGUAAAGUUGAAACAUGAAAAGAAAGG